rnacentral:lncRNA from 1 species
AUUAAGCAAUACUUGCCUAGGGAUAGGGGGUAGGACGAUCAAUUGUUUUUGCUUCUGUUCUUAAUGCAUUAUUAAUUACUAGGGUAGGCUAGGGAUAACAAGCCGGUAAUUAGUAAUAAGCUCUUUUCGCCGAGGGAUCGAGUUAAGGGUAGGCCAAGAAAGUUUGCAUAACAAUUAAAUAACAAAGCGCAAUAAACAAGAGGAGUAGAUAAGAGGGAGCGGAUAAGAUGAAAUUGUAAACCCCC